UACGGAGGGGGCUAGCGGUGUUCGGCCUUACUGGGCGUAAAGCGCGCGUCGGCGGACCUGCAAGUCGGGGGUGAAAGCCCGAGGCUCAACCUCGGAACUGCCUUCGAUACUGCGGGUCUCGAGUCCGGGAGAGGUGAGUGGAAUUCCUAGUGUAGAGGUGAAAUUCGUAGAUAUUAGGAAGAACACCAGUGGCGAAGGCGGCUCACUGGCCCGGUACUGACGCUGAGGCUCGAAAGCGUGGGGAGCAAACAGG
rnacentral:rRNA from 1 species